GACGUAGGGUGCGAGCGUUGUCCGGAAUUAUUGGGCGUAAAGAGCUCGUAGGCGGUGUGUCACGUCGGCCGUGAAAACCUGCAGCUUAACUGUGGGCGUGCGGUCGAUACGGGCAUCACUGGAGUUCGGCAGGGGAGACUGGAAUUCCUGGUGUAGCGGUGAAAUGCGCAGAUAUCAGGAGGAACACCGGUGGCGAAGGCGGGUCUCUGGGCCGAUACUGACGCUGAGGAGCGAAAGCGUGGGUAGCAAACAGG
rnacentral:rRNA from 1 species